rnacentral:lncRNA from 1 species
CCAAGGAAGAUGUUCUUGCAAUUCCAUAAGACCAACCCACCUCAACCCACCUCCACAGCAAGUUCAUCAAUAUUCAGUUUGUGUUAGUAUAAAUGUUGCUGAAAGAAAGAUCAGAGAAAUUCUGCAAACUCACACUACUGAGACAGAAGCUGUUCAGUCAACUGGACACCAAACUCAGGAUGCCGUACAUCACAGAUAUUGAUGUUUCCAUUUAUCCUCAUCAGGAGCAAGCCCUAACGAACAAAGGUUUCAAAAUAAUCAAUGUUGAUCUGAACAAAGGCACUAGCGGAAACCAUAUUUACCUCUGGUACAAGGAGGGCAGCAGCAAUCCCAUCACCAGAUUGCAGGUUACAUUCAAAGAUGACAUGCAAAAUGGUUUGAGGAAUGCAGGUUACCGUAAGGUGGAUAGAGACCUCAACGCUGGGGCUGGAGGAGAUGAAAUCUUUCUCUGGUACUACAAAGGUACAACUGAGUAUGACAACCCUAUAGUGGAUCUUAAGGUCACCUCAAAUGCAACAGAUGAAGCCCAAUAUUACCAGAAUGGCUGGGAACGACUGACGUGUGACCUGAAUCGCGAAGCUAAAGGCAAGUUGAUCCGUGUUUGGGUGAAGAAAGAAAAGAAAAUGUACAUCUCUGACAUCAAGGCAACUACCACUUUUGCAUUUGAUCACGAGUAUUUUUCCCAGGGCUACACCCGUGUGGAUGAAGAUGUGAAUCGAGCUGCAGGAGAAGCCUUUGUCUUUCUUUGGUAUCGUCAGUCCCAAACAUAUUACCAAACCAUCAAUCUCCUGGAUGUCUCCACUAACCGCGAGGAAGAGGAAAGCCUUCAGAUACAGGGUUAUACCGCUGUUGGUGUUAAUCUCAAUGAAGGAACAGGAGGCCCCCGGAUAAAUGCCUGGUACAAGAAGGGUUCAGACCGUCCCAUCCAGACCUUCACUGUAAUAUUUCAACAUGAAAUGAGUCCUUAUGCGCAGGCUGGCAUCCAAGUCAUUGAAAAAAAUCUGAAUACAGGCAACAAAGGCACCCCCUUGUACCUGGCAUACCAAUGAGAUCAGGGGUUUCAUUUUCUGUAUUCCAUGUACAAGGGGGUGCCAUUGUUGCCUGUAUUCAGAUUUUUUUCAAUGACAUGGAUGCCAGCCUUUUCAUUAGGACUCCCUUCAUGUUGAAAGAUUACAGUGAAGGUCUGGAUGGGAUCAUCUGAACCCUUCUUGUACCAGGCAUUUAUCGGGGGGCCUCCUGUUCCUUCAUUGAGAUUAAUACCAACACGGGUAUAACCCUGUUCCUGAAGGCUUUCCUCUUCCUCGUGGUUAGUGGAGACAUCCAGUUGAUUCGAAACUGCCAAAUUCAUCAUGAAUGCAAUGUUGACUCUGCAAUGAACAGUGACAUUUCCCACCGACGGCCCAUGUGUAAGCCCUUUUCAACCAGGAUUUUCAGGUUUGUGUUAGAUCUCUCUACGUUAAACGACCAAGCAGG